GGCCUACCGGAGGCCAGGAGUAAGCUAACGAUCGCCACCCGGGAAGCUGUGACUAGCAAGAACAUAAAACAUGUGUUCAGUGUGUUCAGCCAGGUGCCUGGAAGUGAAAAUGAGAAGAAGCUGACCCUUGACCAAGUCUUUAGAGCUGUUCUAGAGGAGGAAAUCGUAA